CUUUUAUUUCUCGUGUUUUUUUUUCUUUUUCAUUUUUCUUCUUUACUUCAUCCUAUCAUGAUUUUCUUAUCCCCGAAGUGUAUCGUUCCUUGUUACAGAAAAUCUCAAGAAAAAGGGUGGAUAGAAAAAGAAAAGAAAGAAAAAAGAAAACAGAAUUAAUCGUUAGAAAGAACGAGAUGAUGAAUUUUUUUCGACUCGAGAGAAUUGUUGUUGAAAAAGAAAAAAGAAAAAAGAAAAAAAAGAAUCCAUAAUAGAAUAAUGAAAAUUGCAAGAGAAAAGAAAGAAUACAGUAGCAGAAUUAACGUUAGAAAAUUGAAACUAGCUGAACGUUUGUAGAUAAGAGAAUUAGCGGAAAAAGAAGAAUUUCGAAAAGAGAAAGAGUAACAAAAAGAAAAAAAAAGA